GUUUCCCUACGGGGCGCAGCAGUGGGGAAUAUUGCACAAUGGGGGAAACCCUGAUGCAGCGACGCCGCGUGAGUGAAGAAGUAUCUCGGUACGUAAAACUCUAUCAGCAGGGAAGAAAAAAAGUCUUUGGCUUUGGACGGUACCUGACUAAGAAGCCCCGGCUAACUACGUGCCAGCAGCCGCAGUAAUACGUAGGGGGCAAGCGUUAUCCGGAUUUACCGGGUGUAAAGGGAGCGUAGACGGCAGCGCAAGUCUGGAGUGAAAUGCCGGGGCUCAACCCCGGAACUGCGUUGGAAACUGUGCAG
rnacentral:rRNA from 1 species